rnacentral:tRNA from 1 species
UGCUCUUGCAGGUGGGCAAUGGGCUGACCCCGCUGGAAUCGGGGCUGACGACAUUGCCGUUCUCGGUGGGUGUGAUCAUCGCAUCGGGGGUGUC